rnacentral:rRNA from 1 species
GAUGAACGCUGGCGGCGUGCCUAAUACAUGCAAGUCGAGCGAACAGACGAGGAGCUUGCUCCUCUGACGUUAGCGGCGGACGGGUGAGUAACACGUGGAUAACCUACCUAUAAGACUGGGAUAACUUCGGGAAACCGGAGCUAAUACCGGAUAAUAUAUUGAACCGCAUGGUUCAAUAGUGAAAGACGGUUUUGCUGUCACUUAUAGAUGGAUCCGCGCCGCAUUAGCUAGUUGGUAAGGUAACGGCUUACCAAGGCAACGAUGCGUAGCCGACCUGAGAGGGUGAUCGGCCACACUGGAACUGAGACACGGUCCAGACUCCUACGGGAGGCAGCAGUAGGGAAUCUGCCGCAAUGGGCGAAAGCUUGACGGAGCAACGCCGCGGGAGUGAGGAAGGUCUGCGGAUCGUAAACUCUGUUAUUAGGGAAGAACAAAUGUGUAAGUAACUAUGCACGUCUUGACGGUACCUAAUCAGAAAGCCACGGCUAACUACGUG